GACGAACGCUGGCGGCGUGCUUAACACAUGCAAGUCGAACGGAAAGGCCCUGCUUUUGUGGGGUGCUCGAGUGGCGAACGGGUGAGUAACACGUGAGUAACCUGCCCUUGACUUUGGGAUAACUUCAGGAAACUGGGGCUAAUACCGGAUAGGAUCUCCUGCUGCAUGGUGGGGGUUGGAAAGUUUCGGCGGUUGGGGAUGGACUCGCGGCUUAUCAGCUUGUUGGUGGGGUAGUGGCUUACCAAGGCUUUGACGGGUAGCCGGCCUGAGAGGGUGACCGGCCACAUUGGGACUGCGGUACGGACCAGUCUCCUACGGGAGGCAGCAGUGGGGAAUAUUGCACAAUGGGCGGAAGCCUGAUGCAGCAACGCCGCGGGCGGGAUGACCGCCUUUGGGGUGUAAACCGCUUUCGCCUGUGACGAAGCGUGAGUGACGGUAAUGGGUAAAGAAGCACCGGCUAACUACGUG
rnacentral:rRNA from 1 species